rnacentral:rRNA from 1 species
UACGGAGGGUGCAAGCGUUAUCCGGAUUUACUGGGUUUAAAGGGUGCGUAGGCGGGCCCUUAAGUCAGUGGUGAAAGCUCCGAGCUUAACUCGGAAACUGCCAUUGAUACUAUAGGUCUUGAAUUCGGUCGAGGUUGGCGGAAUGUGUCGUGUAGCGGUGAAAUGCGCAGAUAUCAGGAAGAACACCCGUGGCGAAAGCGGCUCUCUGGAACGGUACUGACGCUGAGACGCGAAAGCGUGGGGAGCGAACAGG